rnacentral:rRNA from 1 species
GAUGAACGCUAGCGAUAGGCUUAACACAUGCAAGUCGAGGGGCAGCGAGGGUAGCAAUACCUGUCGGCGACCGGCGCACGGGUGAGUAACGCGUAUGUAACCUGCCCGCAACAGGGGGAUAACCCGGCGAAAGUCGGACUAAUACCGCAUAAAACAGGGGUCCCGCAUGGGAAUAUUUGUUAAAGAUUUAUCGGCUGCGGAUGGGCAUGCGUACCAUUAGGUAGUUGGUGAGGUAACGGCUCACCAAGCCUUCGAUGGUUAGGGGUUCUGAGAGGAAGGUCCCCCACACUGGUACUGAGACACGGACCAGACUCCUACGGGAGGCAGCAGUGAGGAAUAUUGGUCAAUGGGCGAGAGCCUGAACCAGCCAAGUCGCGUGAAGGAUGACUGCCCUAUGGGUUGUAAACUUCUUUUACAAGGGAAUAAAAUGAGAUACGUGUAUUUUAUUGCAUGUACCUUGGGAAUAAGCAUCGGCUAACUCCGUG